UUCAAAAGAAAAUGAUUAGUUUGGGUGAGAUAGAGAGCAUAUAGCCCAUUUACAGAGUAAGAGGCCUAACAUGAGACUCCAUUUCCAUCUCUGCACUACUGCAUAUAAUCUCUCCAGGGUUAUGACUGUUGAAAUCUUUUAUUUUCUCAGCCUCUCAUCUUUUGAUGGACAAGAGCCAGCCAAACACAACAACAACAACAGCCAAAAAAGAAAGCUCCUUACAGAUUUCUAACGAGUCUCCGCCAGGCCACCCCCCAGCAGAUCAUUCUAAGCUCUCCAGCUAGGGCAAGAAGCACUCGAACACCUUCUUGAGUCAAUAAUGCAUAAUUGGUGAACCUGUCAGGUUUUUCUUUUUUAAACAAUUACAAUUUUUUGGAAAGGAAGAAAAAGUAGGCCUGGAACUCCAGAGCAUAAGUGCCUAUGGCCACCAGAUGAGAAGCCCGACAGCUAUACAGUAGUAACAUGAAUGAUGUAAUAAAGUUAAAUUGGAAAUGCUUUUUAUUUUAAAAAGUAUAAUUACUAUAAUAAAAAAUAUUUAAAUAUAAAGAAUAAAAUAUUUUAUAAAUUCAA